rnacentral:rRNA from 1 species
AACCGUAUAGGGGAGCCGGAGGGAAACCGAGUCUUAACCGGGCGUUAAGUUGCAGGGUAUAGACCCGAAACCCGGUGAUCUAGCCAUGGGCAGGUUGAAGGUUGGGUAACACUAACUGGAGGACCGAACCGACUAAUGUUGAAAAAUUAGCGGAUGACCUGUGGCUGGGGGUGAAAGGCCAAUCAAACCGGGAGAUAGCUGGUUCUCCCCGAAAGCUAUUUAGGUAGCGCCUCGUGAAUUCAUCUCCGGGGGUAGAGCACUGUUUCGGCUAGGGGGCCAUCCCGGCUUACCAACCCGAUGCAAACUGCGAAUACCGGAGAAUGUUAUCACGGGAGACACACGGCGGGUGCUAACGUCCGUCGUGAAGAGGGAAACAACCCAGACCGCCAGCUAAGGUCCCAAAGUCAUGGUUAAGUGGGAAACGAUGUGGGAAGGCCCAGACAGCCAGGAUGUUGGCUUAGAAGCAGCCAUCAUUUAAAGAAAGCGUAAUAGCUCACUGGUCGAGUCGGCCUGCGCGGAAGAUGUAACGGGGCUAAACCAUGCACCGAAGCUGCGGCAGCGAACGUAUCACCCAAGACAACUUUACGGAGUUGACGAUUGACGGAGCGAAGCGACGUCAAAGCGUUCAUUAAAGUCGAGUUGGCUUAGGGAUACGUUCGUUGGGUAGGGGAGCGUUCUGUAAGCCUGUGAAGGUGUGUCGUGAGGCAUGCUGGAGGUAUCAGAAGUGCGAAUGCUGACAUAAGUAACGAUAAAGCGGGUGAAAAGCCCGCUCGCCGGAAGACCAAGGGUUCCUGUCCAACGUUAAUCGGGGCAGGGUGAGUCGACCCCUAAGGCGAGGCCGAAAGGCGUAGUCGAUGGGAAACGGGUUAAUAUUCCCGUACUUGGUGUUACUGCGAAGGGGGGACGGAGAAGGCUAUGUUGGCCGGGCGACGGUUGUCCCGAUUUAAGCGUGUAGGUGUGUGUUCCAGGUAAAUCCGGUUCACUUUAACACUGAGGCGUGACGACGAGGCACUACGGUGCUGAAGCAACAAAUGCCCUGCUUCCAGGAAAAGCCUCUAA